AGAGAGGCAGGACCAAAAUUGAGGCGAAUCCGGGAACCUGCCAAUGGGUCUCCGGAUGCGUUCUCUGAAACUGGAGGAUAUCGGGAGGAAAGGCUCUCCGAUGCGGAGGUAAUGCGGAAACUCUUGGCAUGGUUGGCUGUAGGUACCUGAUACGGGAGGAGCGGGAGUCAAAUAGGAUACGCCGACUUUUAAUUCGAGGAACCCUUUUCUGAAACACUGCCACAAUGAAGGACAUCAGGAGUCAUGCUCAGAGAUGUCAAGAAAAGAUACAUGGGUCUUGGAAGAUAAAUACUCAAAAUAUGCAGGGGAAGGAAUAAAAUUGAAGGGUGUUUUUCUUAGACAACAUCAUUUGUCAUAUUUAUUUGAUCAAGAAGUUGAAGAUUUAUGUAAUAAGGAUCUAGUUUGAAGCACUAAGAAGAAUAAGACAUCAGUUUG